CCCUUAGAUGUCCUGGGCCGCACGCGCGUUACACUGAUGCAUUCAAAGAGCUUAUAACCUUGGCCGAGAGGCCUGGGCAAUCUUGUUAACGUGCAUCGUGAUAGGGAUAGAUUAUUGAAAUUAUUAAUCUUGAACGAGGAAUUCCUAGUAAACGCAGAUCAUCAAUCUGCAUUGAUUACGUCCCUGCCCUUUGUACACACCGCCCGUCGCACCUACCGAUUGGAUGGUCCGGUGAAGCCUCGGGAUUGUGGUUCUUGCCGCUUUAUUGUGGCGUGACCGCGAGAACUUGUCUAAACCUUAUCAUCUAGAGGAAGGUGAAGUCGUAACA
rnacentral:rRNA from 1 species